GGGGAAUAUUGCACAAUGGGGGAAACCCUGAUGCAGCGACGCCGCGUGGAGGAAGAAGGUCUUCGGAUUGUAAACUCCUGUUGUUGAGGAAGAUAAUGACGGUACUCAACAAGGAAGUGACGGCUAACUACGUGCCAGCAGCCGCGGUAAAACGUAGGUCACAAGCGUUGUCCGGAAUUACUGGGUGUAAAGGGAGCGCAGGCGGGAAGACAAGUUGGAAGUGAAAUCCAUGGGCUCAACCCAUGAACUGCUUUCAAAACUGUUUUUCUUGAGUAGUGCAGAGGUAGGCGGAAUUCCCGGUGUAGCGGUGGAAUGCGUAGAUAUCGGGAGGAACACCAGUGGCGAAGGCGGCCUACUGGGCACCAACUGACGCUGAGGCUCGAAAGUGUGGGUAGCAAACAGGAUUAGAUACCCUGGUAGUCCACACUGUAAACGAUGAUUACUAGGUGUUGGAGGAUUGACCCCUUCAGUGCCGCAGUUAACACAAUAAGUAAUCCACCUGGGGAGUACGACCGCAAGGUUGAAACUCAAAGGAAUUGACGGGGGCCCGCACAAGCAGUGGAGUAUGUGGUUUAAUUCGACGCAACGCGAAGAACCUUACCAAGUCUUGACAUCCCUUGACGAACAUAGAAAUAUGUUUUCUCUUCGGAGCAAGGAGACAGGUGGUGCAUGGUUGUCGUCAGCUCGUGUCGUGAGAUGUUGGGUUAAGUCCCGCAACGAGCGCAACCCUUACUGUCAGUUACUACGCAAGAGGACUCUGGCAGGACUGCCGUUGACAAAACGGAGGAAGGUGGGGAUGACGUCAAAUCAUCAUGCCCUUUAUGACUUGGGCUACACACGUACUACAAUGGCGUUAAACAAAGAGAAGCAAGACCGCGAGGUGGAGCAAAACUCAGAAACAACGUCCCAGUUCGGACUGCAGGCUGCAACUCGCCUGCACGAAGUCGGAAUUGCUAGUAAUCGUGGAUCAGCAUGCCACGGUGAAUACGUUCCCG
rnacentral:rRNA from 1 species